rnacentral:misc_RNA from 1 species
GACUGGCGGCACGCGUGUCUGACUGUGUGCACUCAUCUCUGCCUAUUCCUGCGUCACUGUGAUGAGGAAGAGGUGGGUGGUCGUGUGCCGCUUUGAUGAGGUGCUCAACUGACACAUGUGGAGACCGUCUUCCCCACGCUAGUGUGGAGCUGCGCUGCGUUUAGAGAGAGUCAGAGGGGCGGUUGCGCCAUCCGUGUGCGCAUCCUUAGGUGCCUCACUUCUUAUUCAUUCCCAUUCGGUUGCUGUGUUGGCCUGGGGAUGCAGUAUCCGCCCGACACGCAGGUAUGGGUCAAGUGCGACGACGGUGUUUGGUGGCCCGGCACGUUGAGAGAGACGGACACGGAGAUGCAGGCCUUUCUGUGCGCUGGUGAAGACUGCUGCGUAGAGUUUUAUCACAGCCCAGGGGAGCUUUAUCCCCUUUUCUCUGCUGACAAGGCCCACGUACGCCCUUUGCAUGCGGAACCACACACCCGCACCCCCGAAGAAGACGCGUGGUUUGCUAACGAGACAGUGGCGGAGGCGGCGGCCAAGGCCCUGCGCGACUAUCAGUGCUGCCGCCUCCUGAACUCCCCUCCUGACGGCCCACCUGCGGGGCCUGCUCCGAUAAGUGAGCGAGAAAACACACGCGACGCUCUGCCCUUCACUGCUACCGAGCUGCGUAACAUCGAAUCUCUGUUGGGCGCGGUGGGUAAUUCAACGGCAGCGCGUCUCCGACAGGAGCUGCAGCAGGCACGUGCCUCUGUGGCGUCGAGGGGCCUGCGCAGGCAAGAUGCACCGAGACGGCAGGCCCGAAAGCGGCAGCGGCCCGCGGAGCCUCCACCCUCUCCGGCACCACCUGCGGCAACACACCGUAGCGUGCUCGCGGCGGCUUCUCGACCGACUGAGGAAGCUCCAACUUGUCCUAGGCAUGAUCCCAGCGGUGUGAUGCAUGCUCUUUCGGAGGCGCUGCCCACUGCACGUAGGGUUGCGAAGCGCUCUUCUGGCAGGUCUUCCUCGCCUCUGUCUGCCGGCGACGGCGAGGGGGGUGAUGCGAGCGAGGAGGACGAGGACGCCGUACCAUUUGUGCAGGCUGCAAGGCGCCACGUGCUUGAGGUGCUCCGCCACGAAGUCUUCGAGAAUCCGUCGAGGUUUGUCUUGUCGCCCGUGUACCACUUCGUGGACAUGCUCGGGGCGGUGGUGGUUGAAAACAGCAAUCUGACCACGACACUGCCUGCACCUCGCACGCUGCACGAGAGACCGGCGGAGGGCUUCUCGCCGCAGCGGCGCGUGCUUCUCGUGCCUUUGACAGAUACCUACGAGCACACCACGGGGUGGAUGCUGCCAACGGAGAUUGAAGGCGCACAGCUUGCCAUGUCGCUGUACGUCGACGACACUCCUGUCUCUCUACCGCCAAACUGGCAGCUUUCUCCCGCCAAGGAGGCGGCCGCAGUUAAAACCGCAAUCACGGUGGAUAUCACGCCCCUUGUGCUCCCGAUUGAGCGGGAUCUCUUCUCCUUGCAGGUGAUCUUCUCUGGCGAUGUGGCGGAGAUGGAGAUGUGGCGCGGCGUCAUCGCUUGUGUGCUUGUGGAGGAAGUAGGGUUGGCCCACCUCGGUGAGCGCAUUGUGUCCACGUAUCACAAGCGUAGAGCGGCCGCCAUCCGGCAAUCGCCGUCGUCAUCCUGCGGCGAGCGCGGCGCCGUUGCAAUCACGGAGGCGUCGGUGAAGAUUCAGUGCCCCAUGACCACGCUCACGAUGGAGAUCCCUGUGCGGGGCAUGUACUGCGAGCAUCUGCAGUGCAUGGAGUUGGCGGCGGUGCUCAUUCAAUGUGCUCGGCAAAACGUGUGGAACUGUCCACUAUGCUCGGCUGCCAUGAAGCCGGAAGACAUCAUCGUCAACUACCGCCUCAAGGACUGGAUCGCCUCGCAUUCGCAGGAGGUAGUGGCGCAGGUCGAAUAUGUGGUGGAGACGGAGCCUGGCCGACCCCUGAAGAUUGUGUACAAGGCCGCAAGACCAGAGCAGCACUCCACAAUCGAGGUGAUAGAUGACGAGGAGGGAUAAUGGCCACUGCCUGGAAGUAGGCCACACAAAUGCGCAGGCAUUCAUUAGUGAGCGUGCGAGAGCAGUCGACCGCCUUCAACAGCGCUGCUCCCUCACACACGCAGAAGCGUUGCUUCUUUGUUUACUCCGCUUCCUUCUUCCCAGUUUACUCGGUCGCGUUGGCUGGGGUCUUCAAAGAAGAGGGCCAAACAUCAAACAAG